GACGAACGCUGGCGGCGUGCUUAACACAUGCAAGUCGAACGGAAAGGCCCUGCUUUUGUGGGGUGCUCGAGUGGCGAACGGGUGAGUAACACGUGAGUAGCCUGCCCUUGACUUUGGGAUAACUUCAGGAAACUGGGGCUAAUACCGGAUAGGAGCUCCUGCUGCAUGGUGGGGGUUGGAAAGUUUCGGCGGUUGGGGAUGGACUCGCGGCUUAUCAGCUUGUUGAUGGGGUAGUGGCUUACCAAGGCUUUGACGGGUAGCCGGCCUGAGAGGGUGACCGGCCACAUUGGGACUGAGAUACGGCCCAGACUCCUACGGGAGGCAGCAGGGGGGAAUAUUGCACAAUGGGCGGAAGCCUGAUGCAGCAACGCCGCGUGCGGGAUGACGGCCUUCGGGUUGUAAACCGCUUUCGCCUGUGACGAAGCGUGAGUGACGGUAAUGGGUAAAGAAGCACCGGCUAACUACGUG
rnacentral:rRNA from 1 species